rnacentral:rRNA from 1 species
UACCAUCACCCCGAGUGGUCGGGACGUUUAUUGGGCCUAAAGCAUCCGUAGCCGGUUCUACAAGUCUUCCGUUAAAUCCACCUGCUUAACAGAUGGGCUGCGGAAGAUACUAUGGAGCUAGGAGGCGGGAGAGGCAAGCGGUACUCGAUGGGUAGGGGUAAAAUCCGUUGAUCCAUUGAAGACCACCAGUGGCGAAGGCGGCUUGCCAGAACGCGCUCGACGGUGAGGGAUGAAAGCUGGGGGAGCAAACCGG